CGGGGCUGUCUCCGCCUCCCGGGAGCGGCCGCAGGUGCGGCUGGGCUCUGCGCAGCCCCGCCCCGCCCCGGCCCGGACAGGUGGCGGCGGGCGGGGAUGGCGGCCCCCGGCGGGCUGGGCCGCUGCGUGGCCGCCUUCUGGCUGGCGCUGGCCUUCGACGCGGUGGGGUUGGCCGUGCUGCUGAGCGGGGUCUUCGCCGACGUCUUCUACUCGGACCUGCUCAUCUACAUGGGCGGCAUCGGAAUCUUCCUCAGCCUCAUCUGGUGGGUCUUCUGGUACGCGGGCAACCAGGAGGUGCCCCUGGCCGAGCUGCGCGACGACGUGGGGCUGGCGCCGCCCAAGGACCGCGGGGACACGCUGCUGCGGAGGCUGGUGCGGGGGCUCAGCCUGCGCUUCUCCUCCGCCCCCGGCCCGGCCCCGGCCCCGGGCCCCGGCGUGGAGCUGCAGCCCGCCCGCAGCCCGCCCGUCUGAGCCGCGCCGCCAGGAUUCAGAAGAUGAGACAUGACAUUACUGCCAUGGGGAAAAAACAGUGAUGCAGAUUACGGAAGGAAGAUUCCCUAUACUAGAUUAGGAUUCUUCCAUUAUGGAAUAGUAUCUCCUGUUUUCUGGAAUCUGAAAGAGGCAUACCAUGCCAUCUCUGCUACACUUUUCCAUAUUGGACUGGAGAACUUUCUUUAUAAUUACCAAUAACCAUGUGAAACACAUCCCUCUCUCAGUUUGCGAAAUCGCACGCAAAUCAUUUGAAAACAAAGUGGGUUACACUUGUUACUAGUUUAGGCAAUGUUUUUAAUAGAAAAGGAAUUACAGAACUUAAUGUAGAAACACCUUUUUUUUAAAUACCUAAAAUAUUUGGUGCCAAGUUUUUAUAGUGUGUAACUAAAGUACAUAAAUGAAAUUACUGUGAACUUUACCAUGGCAGUGCAAUACAUUUGGAAGGGUGGUUUUAAGGUCCCUUUGAAAUAACUGAUGCAAAAGUAUAAAGAUUAAAUAUUUGUGUACUAUUAUAAAUACACAAUUUGUGAUUUUUUUUAUUUGGUAAUGUGUAAUCAAUCAUUGAUAGCUAAAUAAGCUUCUUUUCAAGAUCUUUCAAACUUUGUAUUUUAAAUCUUGUUUGAAGAUGGACAAAACUAGUGGAAAGGUUAGUGUCCUAACCAUAUUUCUUUUUACCUGACAUAAUAGGAACAAUUUAUUGUGAAUUAACAGUAUGAAAUGGAGAGGAAUUCUCAUCAUGUAAUAUGUUCCAGAAAAUAUUGUCCCAAUGUUGUAUUAUUCCAGAAACUGCAAACUAAAUCUAACUCAGAGAAAUGUGUCAGGUAAUACUUUACCAGCGCAUAAGGAGGUAAAAAUUAAAUUGUAGCUAAGGGUAUCUGAAAACCCUACAGAUUUUUGACGUCCCUGCCAAUUGUGAAGUCCCUACUUGUAUUUUCCCUGUUGACUGCAAUUUCUUUAUAUCAUUGGCAAAUAAGGGUGUGUCUUUUACCUGCACUGUACUGUUUUAUCAUUAAUUCCUGGCUGCCACAUCUAAGUUAUGUAUUUGUGGAAUGGAUCACAGCAAACCAUUCUUGGUCCAUCAAACCUCUAGGGCCACCCAAAAAUGUUUUCCUGUGAAGAAGCAGGAGGAAACUGAAAUAUAUUCCAAGAAAGUGUCCCAAUGUGCAUUGUUCCAAAAACUGCGGAUUAACUUUCCUGUAAACUGUGUUGUUUCCUUUCUUGUUCUGCCUUCUUCAAAUUAUUUGCAAGAAUAUUACUUUUAUUCCACAUUCCUGAAGAGAACUUAUUUCCUUUCCUUCUUUUGCAAUCAGUGCCUGAGGUCUGGAUUAUUUAGGGCUUACAAACUGCAGCUGUAAAGUGACUAUUUUAACAUUGCAUUUUAUCAAUCACAGCUCAUAUAGGUUGAUUAUUUGAUAGGUUUAGUCUUAAAUAUUUAAAUUGUUUAGUAUUAGGUAAUAUACAAUUUCAUGUAGAGAGGACCCUGAUUAACAUGCAUCAGAAAACUAAAAUAGCUGUAAAUGUAUUAUCAAUUGUGGUUCAUAAUGAAGCCAAAGUCCAUCUUAUUUCUUGUGCAAAUAUAUAUUUUUAAAUCAGCAUCAUAAAAGUGCUGUUUGCAGUUCUAUAGUUGUUUGAGACAUGCACCUAAAGCAGAAUUCAGCUUUGCUUUUACAUUUGAAGAAUAUAGCUUUUCUUCUCCCAAAACAAUUACAAUUCAAGAACCAAGUAGGUCUUCUAAGAAUGUACAAAUAAACUUGCUAACUAACUUGACUUAAAAUAUUUGGUACUUAUUAGGGACAGAAAUAGUCUGACAAUCUCAUACUGAAAUAAAAUUUGUCAGUGUGAAAUAUUAAGUAGUAGCUACAUUUAAAAAGGAUUUAAAGUUAAUGAGCAGUUUUUAUAGGAAGUUCUAUAAAAAACUGCCCCCUCUCAUGGUUCACAAUGGUGAUCAAGCCAACACAUCUGAGCUCUAAUAGCCAUUUCAAGGAAGGUCCCUACAAACCUGUCUUCUAUUAUUCUUAAUGAAACUGAGGCUACAAAAAGGAUAAGUCCUCUUCCAUACAUACAAUUAUUCUGUCUCCUGAAAGCUUUGGAAAGCCUACUAUUUUCAGGGCAGCUUGACUCAAACUCUUUCAAGAUGACCCCCAAUUGCCAUCAUUCCUUGAAAGAGAGCAACUUGAUAAGUUUCUCCACAGAAGGCUGUUUUAUACAAUAUCUGUUGAACAGAUUUUAGAUAUAAAAAAGCCCAAUAAAAAUGAUCAUAAAUCUUAAAUUAUUAUUUUCAAAAGUUACUAGCUGUGUUAGAUCUUAUCAACAGAGAUGAUGAAAGGGAAAUAAAGGGGUGUAAAGAAAGAAGGCUAUUUGUAAAAAGAUACAUAGUUUAAGAGAGGGGGAACCUGGUGAAUGGGGCCUAAAGAGUAAAUAAAUAAAGGUCUAAAUGUCACAAAUAGUUAAAAGAAAUAAUGUGACAUUCUCUUAAAGUUUAUGUUGUUUACAUACAGGAAGGUUCCUUAAUUUAAAAAAGAAAACAGACAAAAAACAAUGUUAACAUUCAGAGAAUACUUCAGUAAUUUAGGAUAAAAGGCAUUACAGGAAGAUCAGUGUUAUCUCCAGACCAAGUGCUAGAAGCUCAGAAAAAUUCAGCAUUAAAUUUUACAUGUAAAAGAAAACUAAACACAUGCAAGGUAUGGAACUAUCAAGGGCAUCCAAGUAACCUUAACUUUACCUUACAGUAAUCUAAUGAGGAAGGGUGGAGGAGGGGAAGAAAACUAGUGUGCAUUUUAAAUAUUUCUUAAUCUAAUCUAGGAUCAAAAACACUAUUAGGAACUACUCCUAACUGUAUAGUUAUUGCAUGGUGUCUACUGGGCAAAGGUUGUUCAGGUGCUUUACCUAUACAUUUCUUUGGUUGACUUUUACUUUGGUUCGGUGUUUAAUUAGUUUAAUUAUUUAUUUUGUAAAACUUAAGAGCCCCCCUAAAAUGUUUAUUAUUUUCAUGACUGAUGUAGGUUCUCAAUUUUAAACUACAUUUUAAUGUAGCUUUUGUUUGGGAAUUUAUAGACAUUUAUCUAUUUUAAAUUAACAUUCAAUUUUGUAUUCUUUUUAUACAUUGCUGAAAAAAAUUGUGCAUAUGGAAAUAUAAUUUUCUGUGCUGAAAAUUACACUGAAGAGUUUACCAUUUGACUUCUAAGACAUUUUUGGUCACUGUGGAAAGAAAAUAGGGUUUUAUGCCAUUGCUUGACUGAACUUACAGGACUCAUGUAAGCAUUAGUUGGAAGAUAUUUAACAACUGUACAGGAGGCCCACUUUUCUGGACUUUGGUCUGAAAUCACCCAAAUUUGGUGACUUUCUAGGUGUUCUCCAAAGAUGUUGGAUUGGCACUUCUCUCACAUGGAGAAAGAUGAAGAUGCCUUCUCAAACAAUGAAGAGAAGCAGAGUUCCUAUGGAGCUGAUUUUAACUGUAUAUACCCACAGCUGCCAAACUGCAGCUCGUGUCUUGCCAACAUGGAACUUGCGGCUCUCCAGAAAUUGGCCGCUGACUUUUCCUCGUGGCAGCUCCAGGGCACAGCACAGCCUGGCAUCUCCCACUGCUGCGGCUUUCCCAGUGGGGAAUGUGCCCCGAGCCCACCCUCCUCCCUCUUUUUUUCCCUCUGCGACUGCUGGCUCAGGCACCAGGGCUGCCUGGGCUGCAGCCACGCUGCUUACCCUAGGGCGUGCUCCCCGUGGGGAAAGCCAGAGCAGUUCAGCCGUACAGGUUGGUCACCUCCACUCCGGGUCACUCAGCACCCCCACUAUCUGGCUCUUAAAUUUCAGAUGUGGCUCCCAGGGUGAGUAACUCUGGCCACCCCUGGUACAGACUGUACAAUUAGCUUACUUGGAUAGCCAUCUUAUUUUAAAUAAAAAUAAUUCUAUGGCUAUGUUAAUGUAUUAUCUCUAUGAAAUAUUCUUUCUACCCAUUACUGCUAAUGUAUAUCAUCUCUUCCCCACCACUCAGUUGGCUCAGUUAAUAAAUAUAAAUUUGGGUGUUUGCAGCUCUCACCUGCUGCACUAUACAAUGAGAUUUCAGUCAGAUAUUACUAGUUAUCCAUUUUUCCCCUUAAUUUUGUGUGUUUUCCCCUAUACAAGGAGGUCCUAAAUACCCUCCCCUGCAAUAGUGUUUCAUACCACUUUUUUCAUGAUCACUACAAUCAUUUAAAGUAGGUCCACGGAGAAAAAAAUAAAGUGUUAGGCAGGAUGGACUGAAAUAAUUUAAAAUAGUUUAGUAACGUGUUAAAACUUAUGCCAUCAGAGAGAGCUUUCAAUUGUAGUUAAUAUUUGUUUUGCAAAUUCUGAAUUGCAGAACUUGUUACCUGCCAGGACAGAUCACAUAGUAGUCAAACAUCUCUUCAGUAAUAAAUCUUACUGCUUCUCUUUG